rnacentral:rRNA from 1 species
UACUCAGCAGUAAUUAACAUUAAGCAAUAAGUGAAAACUUGACUUAGUUAUAGCGACCUCACAGGGCCGGUAAAUCUUGUGCCAACCACCGCGGUCAUACAAGAGGCCCAAACUAACAGUAAUCGGCGUAAAGCGUGGUAAUAUGUUAUCCAACUAAACUAAGACCAAAAUACAACUAAGCCGUCAUAAGCUCAAGAUGCCCCUAAAACCUUCAUAAAUAUGAUCUUAGCACCCACGACCAAUUUCAACCCACGAAAGCUAAGGCACAAACUGGGAUUAGAUACCCCACUAUGCUUGGCCCUAAAUCUAGAUACUUACCCUACACAAGUAUCCGCCUGAGAACUACGAGCACAAACGCUUAAAA